rnacentral:rRNA from 1 species
GUAUUGUACCAGAAGCAGAUAGCCUAACCGCAAGGAGGGCGCUUGCCACGGUGAGAUUCAUGACUGGGGUGAAGUCGUAACAAGGUAGCCGUAGGUGAACCUGCAGAAGGAUCA